rnacentral:misc_RNA from 1 species
GAUGAAGAACGUAGCGAAAUGCGAUAAGUAAUGUGAAUUGCAGAAUUCCGUGAAUCAUCGAAUCUUUGAACGCACAUUGCGCCCCCUGGCAUUCCGGGGGGCAUGCCUGUCCGAGCGUCAUUUCUGCCCUCAAGCACGGCUUGUGUGUUGGGUGUGGUCCCCCCGGGGACCUGCCCGAAAGGCAGCGGCGACGUCCGUCUGGUCCUCGAGCGUAUGGGGCUCUGUCACUCGCUCGGGAAGGACCUGCGGGGGUUGGUCACCACCAUGUUUUACCACGGUUGACCUCGGAUCAGGUAGGAGUUACCCGCUGAACUUAAGCAUAUCAAUAAGCGGAGGA